AAUGAACGCUGGCGGCAGGCCUAACACAUGCAAGUCGAGCGAGCAUUUCGGUGCUAGCGGCGGACGGGUGAGUAACGCGUGGGAACGUGCCCUUUUCUGCGGAAUAGUCCUGGGAAACUGGGGGUAAUACCGCAUACGCCCUUUUGGGGAAAGAUUUAUCGGAGAAGGAUCGGCCCGCGUUGGAUUAGGUAGUUGGUGGGGUAAUGGCCCACCAAGCCGACGAUCCAUAGCUGGUUUGAGAGGAUGAUCAGCCACACUGGGGCUGAGACACGGCCCAGACUCCUACGGGAGGCAGCAGUGGGGAAUCUUAGACAAUGGGGGCAACCCUGAUCUAGCCAUGCCGCGUGAGUGAUGAAGGCCUUAGGGUUGUAAAGCUCUUUCAGCUGGGAAGAUAAUGACGGUACCAGCAGAAGAAGCCCCGGCUAACUCCGUG
rnacentral:rRNA from 1 species